GUGACCUCAAAUCAGGUAGGACUACCCGCUGAACUUAAGCAUAUCGAUAAGCGGAGGAAAAAGAACUAACAAGGAUUCCCUAAGUAACUGCGAG
rnacentral:rRNA from 1 species